GUAGACCGCUAGACGACCGCCGCGCCGGCGCGGGCAACCGCGCCGACGGGGAGGAAAGUCCGAACUCCGCAGGGCAGUGCGCCGGGUAACCCCCGGUCAGGGCCGACCUGAAGGAAAGUGGCACAGAAAACAUACCGCCACGAUGUCGCAGCCCUCACGGGCGUGCGUCGGGGUAAGGGUGAAAAGGUGCGGUAAGAGCGCACCGCGUCCGCUGUGAGGCGGAUGGCAGGCUAAACCCCGCACGGAGCAAGACCAAAUAGGGAGGCGUUACAGGACGGCCCGUCCGAAGCCUCCGGGUAGGUCGCUUGAUCCCGCCAGCGAUGGCGGGACUAGAGGAAUGGUCGUCAUCCCGGCGUGGUCGCUUUCGAGCGAUAGCGGAGGGACACAGAAUUCGGCUUAUGGCGCGUCUGCGACG
rnacentral:RNase_P_RNA from 1 species